ACCUCAACCCCCUUCGCCCCUCUUUCUCUUUCCUUUCCACCUCUUGCUCUGGUUCCCUGCCCAGCAGCAGCAGCUUGGCCCUGUCUGAGGCAGAGGAGCUCCUCGUCACGGCAGGCGUGUUGGCCGGAGAUAAGACGAGAUGCCGCGGCACCAGCAACCUUUCAGAGCACGGCGAACGAGUGUCAAGACACUCGGACGCUAAAAGGUCAGCCUGUUUUCGUUCUGUGCGCGGCUCGCUGAAUGGCACCGAAGGAACAGGCUCUCGGCGUGUUCUGUGGGGGUGAAGAUGUUGCCAUGAAAGCGGCUGCCAGGGCAGACGUUUGGGGAGGAUGUGAGGCUGGAGGCGUCGGUGACUCCUGCAGCUCUGAGACAUGCGGGGGCGUGACGUGUCAUUGUUCUGCUCCUGGAUGUUGGCUCGUCUGGGGGAUCGCGUUACAGAGCCGGAGGCUCGACUUGGUCCAGAAGAAAAAAAUAACAAAAAAGAUGAAUGUAAAAACAAAGUUGAUCCCAAUUGGGUGUGCACCAGUUGCACAGAUUUCUUUAAUUUUGGGAGAUUGGUGAUCAGCCGAUACCUGCAUGCGAAGCCGAUCUUAUCCUCCGAUCUUAUCAACCUUGGUAAAGGUCUAAAAUUCAACCACUGUCCUCUUCUGCUCUCCUGUUAGAGAGGUUUGAUUGAUAGACCGGCCCACCAGGUUAUGUCUGCAAGUUUGCAGUUAACACUAGUGACCCCACUGUUGCCAACUCAGUGACUUUCUUGGUAUAUUUAGCCACCUUUCGGACAAUAACAAAACUGGCAUUGGGCAAAAUAAGACUCAGCAGGUCAGGUUUUGUAAAGAUCGACGAUCGGCCACAGAACUGCAGUAGGUGCAGUCAAAGUCCUAAAAGUUUGAAGUUGUUGGGGGGUUUUUUUUCCCGGCACCAAAUCAAAACAUAAAUACACACAUCUUGGAAAAUGACUCAAAUUAACUUUUUCACACUUUGUGCGUUACCAGGAAUUUCAAAAUCCCAACCUCCAGCUCAGAGAUAUUUGUUUUUAUAUAAACCCGGCUACGUGUGCACAAGACCUCAAUCUGUAGGCUACAACCAGCUCACCUUGCUCUUAAAGCAGAGAGGAUCUAAAGUUUACCAUUUGCACCUUGACAAAGAUGUUCAGACUGACAUUCACUGGGAAGACAUACAGCGUGGAUAGCGUGAAACGUUCAGGAGGUUUGUGAUUUAAGUCCAUGCGAGCCGGUGAAAGCAGUUAAACCCGCACUGCUGGCUCCAGGGUGUGAUAAAGCCAGGAGUAUCUCUGGAUCAGAGUGAGUUUUAAAGGUUCUGGCAGACAUUAAACCGACAGCAGGCCUGCAACUUCUCAACCACCGUUCGACGACCCGGCGGGCCGCUCAAAGAGCCUCCAGGUCCAGCUGGCAUUCCGACCGAGGCCGGUGACCAUGAGACGAGCCGGAGGAGACGCAGUCUCUCUCAGAGGGAGCCCGAGUGAGGGACGUUAGCCGGUGGGACAGUAAAAGCUGGACAGCUGUAAAAGGGUGGAGGGAGUGAAGGAAGUCAGUUCACUGGCUGAACGGCUCAGGUGGGAGAAUCUGUUGACAACCGUCGGUCUCAGGAACCACAAAUCCGGCAUCCGAGGAACGUCGUGGUGGAAGAAAGCUGUGACGUAAAUUGUGAUCUGUCCCUCAUGUGCAAAGAUUCUCCUGGAUCCUGCAUUCGGUUCAACGUUUUGCACCAAAGGGACUCACUUCAGAGAAGAAGGCACUCCUCGCUGUGCGUGAAGACACUCAUCCCACGGAGACAAUAGGUAGAUAGACGAUAGAAAUCUACCUGUUUAAGGCUCCGCAGUGUGGCCAGUUUUUCUCGCUGAGCCCGCCUGAUUCUUCCGAACCGACUGAGGGUUUUGGCAUCUUUUCAUUUAGUCAAUCAGGUUUCUGUUCACAGAUCUUUUUCCCUCUCUUCAUCCUCAUCCACAUUUUUCAGGAGUGUGGCAUUGCUAAUAAACUGCUUUUAGCUCGUGUC